rnacentral:rRNA from 1 species
AUGCCUCUAGAAAGAUCCGAAGUAAUUCGAGUUGUAAUUGUACGUACAUGUAAAGAAUUCAAAUGCGAAGAUGGUAUAAUAAUCCGCUAUGAUGACAAUGCUGCGGUUAUAAUUGAUCAAAAAGGCAAUCCAAAAGUAACUCAAGUUUUUGGCGCGAUUGCCGAGGAAUUGAGAGAAUUGAAUUUUACCAAAAUAGUUUCAUUAGCUCCUGAAGUAUUAUAA